rnacentral:pre_miRNA from 1 species
GUGUGAAUGGUGUUAAGCAAUAGGGACAGGUAUGUUUACCUGUGUAGAUGGUGUUUAGCAACAGGGACGGGUAUGUUUACCU